GGAUCUUCUGUUUCCAGGAAGUCCUUUCUCUCUUCGGCUCAGUGACCCCUGGCCACAUCCUGCUCCAUCUCACAGGCUCACGUUGACAGUCAAGCUCCCAGUGAGAAGUUGGAGGUUAGGGUUGGAAGGUCCCAAACUGGUGAACAAAAUCAAGCCCUCUGAUGUCUUGAUCUCGCCAUGUUCAAAAAAGGAAAACUGCUUCAAUCAGCUGCCUAUGUAUAGUAAUCAGGAUUUCACAUUAAAACUCUGGAUUUACAACCUCUCUUUAAAAACAAAAAAUCGGAAGAUCUGGCAACAAUUGACUCACAUUCCUCUUUUACAACCAUCAGCUGGAGCUGAGUAGCAGCCUCUAGAUGGGACAAAUACCAUCAGUACACGAAAGGACCCACCCUUCCCUGGUGUCACUGGGGAACAGAGUCAUUGACCCCCAUCCACUGCUGACUAGCUGUGUGACCUUGGGCGGAUUCUUUACCAUCUGAGGCACCAGAGAAGCCCAAGAAUCCUGGAGUGGGUAACCUAUCCCAUCUCCAGGAGAUCUUCCCAACCAGGGUCUCUACAUCCCAGGUGGAUUCUUUACCAGCUGAGCUACCAGGGAGAAGAAGCCUGUGAACAGCAACCAGAGGGUAGACCCUGCUGGCCACAACUAGAGAAAAACCCAUCCAGCAACAAAGACCCAGCACAGCCAAAAA
ensembl:lncRNA